rnacentral:rRNA from 1 species
UGGGGAAUAUUGGGGCAAUGGGGCGCAAGCCUGACCCAGCAACGCCGCGUGAGGGAAGAAGGCUUUCGGGUUGUAAACCUCUGUCCUUGGUGACGAAGGAAGUGACGGUAGCCAAGGAGGAAGCCCCGGCUAACUACGUGCCAGCAGCCGCGGUAAUACAUAGGGGGCAAGCGUUGUCCGGAAUCACUGGGCGUAAAGGGAGCGUAGGCGGAUGUUUAAGUUAAGUGUGAAAGCCUGGGGCUUAACUCCAGAAAUGCACUUAAUACUGGAUAUCUAGAGUGUGGGAGAGGUAAGUGGAAUUCCUAGUGUAGCGGUAAAAUGCGUAGAGAUUAGGAGGAACACCAGAGGCGAAGGCGGCUUACUGGACCACAACUGACGCUGAGGCUCGAAAGCGUGGGGAGCAAACAGGAUUAGAUACCCUGGUAGU